rnacentral:rRNA from 1 species
AGUGAACGCUGGCGGUAGGCCUAACACAUGCGAGUCGAACGGCAGCACAGUAAGAGCUUGCUCUUACGGGUGGCGAGUGGCGGACGGGUGAGGAAUACAUCGGAAUCUACUUUUUCGUGGGGGAUAACGUAGGGAAACUUACGCUAAUACCGCAUACGACCUACGGGUGAAAGCAGGGGAUCUUCGGACCUUGCGCGAUUGAAUGAGCCGAUGUCGGAUUAGCUAGUUGGCGGGGUAAAGGCCCACCAAGGCGGCGAUCCGUAGCUGGUCUGAGAGGAUGAUCAGCCACCCUGGAACUGAGACACGGUCCAGACUCCUACGGGAGGCAGCAGUGGGGAAUAUUGGACAAUGGGCGCAAGCCUGAUCCAGCCAUACCGCGUGGGUGAAGAAGGCCUUCGGGUUGUAAAGCCCUUUUGUUGGGAAAGAAAAGCAGCAGGUUAAUACCCCGCUGUUCUGACGGUACCCAAAGAAUAAGCACCGGCUAACUUCGUG